AGCAGCCGCGGUAAUUCCAGCUCCAAUAGCGUAUAUUAAAGUUGUUGCAGUUAAAAAGCUCGUAGUUGAAUUUCGGGAUUGACGUGAUGGUCGUGCCUUAAGGGGUAUGAACUGUCGCAGUUGAUUUCUCACCUUCUGGAGAAGCAUGAUGUCCUUAAUUGGGUGUCAUGUGGAACCAGGACCUUUACCUUGAAAAAUUAGAGUGUUUAAAGCAGGCAUUUUGCUCGAAUACAUUAGCAUGGAAUAAUAGAAUAGGACGGCAUGGUUCUAUUUUGUUGGUUUCUAGGAUCACCGUAAUGAUUAAUAGGGAUAGUUGGGGGCAUUAGUAUUCAAUUGUCAGAGGUGAAAUUCUUGGAUUUAUUGAAGACUAACUACUGCGAAAGCAUUUGCCAAGGAUGUUUUCAUUAAUCAAGAACGAAAGUUAGGGGAUCGAAGACGAUCAGAUACCGUCGUAGUCUUAACCAUAAACUAUGCCGACUAGGAAUCAGACGAUGUUAAUUUUUAAUGUACUUCG
rnacentral:rRNA from 1 species